AACAAAAAACUUUAGCACGAGUGGGGUUCGAACCCACGAGGUGUUAUCCACCAUUGGAACUUAAGUCCAACGCCUUAACCACUCGGCCAUCGUGCUGUCCGC
ensembl:ncRNA C40H5.13 ncRNA